GCCAUCUUAGCUCAGUUGGUAGAGCGACGGUAUCGUAAACCGUAGGUCAUCAGUUCGAUCCUGAUAGAUGGCU
rnacentral:tRNA from 3 species